AUGCUACAGGGAGCAGGGGGGGCUCAGAAGGUGUCUGUACAAAAACUAACUCCUGCCACCCUUCUUCCAGAGCCCACCCCCCUUGAGCCCAUGCCCCAUGACCCCGACGUGCAUGUCCUCCACUCCUCCUGCACCAACCACCCAAACACUAUCCAGCUGGUGUGCUUCAUCUCCGGCUUCUACCCCGAGCCUUUGACGGUGGAAUGGCUGGUAAACGGCCAGCCCGGGAUACUUCGUGGUCACACCGCCUCUGCCAAGAAGGAUGGCGACGGUCGCACCUUCAACACCCGCAGCAAUGCCAGUGUCUCCCAGGAUGAGUGGCUGGAGGGCAAGACAUACACCUGCCAGGUGUCCCACCCGGGCACCGGGAGCACAAAGCAGGACCACACCCGCAAGUGCGAAGAAGAAAUGACAUCUCCCAGCAACAUCCAGGUCUUCCUGGUGCCCCCGUCUCCCGCCGCCCUGUACGUGGCCCAGAGCCCCAUGCUCAUGUGUCUGGUGGUCAACCUGCCUAGCAACUCCAGCCUCCAGGUGGUCUGGUCCCGGGAGAAGCCAGGGUCCGUUAGCCCUGAUCGCCUGGACCUCGCUGAGCAGUUCAACGGAACCUUCACUGCCUCCAGCUCCAUGCCCAUCCUCACCCGCGACUCGGAAGUCGGAGAGACCUUCACCUGCAAAGUGGAGCACUCGGAGCUGCCCUCGUCCCUCAUCAAAUCAAUCUCCAAGAAGCCAGGUAGAAGGAGAGCAGG